UCCAGCCCCAGGACUCCCACGUGUCCACUCAGUGAUCGCACUGAACACAGACGCUCACCAUGGAGAUUGGGCUGCGCUGGGUUCUCCUGGUCGCUGUGCUCAAAGGUGUCCAGUGCCAGUCGGUGAAGGAGUCCGGAGGAGGCCUGAUCAAGCCUGGGGAAACCCUGUCACUCACCUGCACAGUCUCUGGAUUCUCCCUCAGUAGCUAUGCAAUGAGCUGGGUCCGCCAGGCUCCAGGGAAGGGGCUGGAAUAUAUCGGAAUCAUUAGUAGUGGUGGUAGCGCAUACUACGCGAGCUGGGCGAAAAGCCGAUGCACCAUCUCCAGAGACACCAACCAGAACACGGUGUCUCUGAAAAUGACCGGUCUGACAGCCGCGGACACGGCCACCUAUUUCUGUGCGAGAGACACAGUGAGGGGCCCUCAGGCUGAGCCCAGACACAAACCUCCCUGCAGGGGCGCGCGGCUCCACCAGGGGGCGCACAAGACGCACUGA